UACGGAGGAUGCGAGCGUUAUCCGGAUUUAUUGGGUUUAAGGGGUGCGUAGGCGGUUUUGCAAGUCAGCGGUGAAACGCACGGGCUUAACCUGUGACCUGCCGUUGAAACUGCGGGACUGGAAUGCGGAUGCUGUGGGAGGAAUGUGUGGUGUAGUGGUGAAAUGCAUAGAUAUCACACAGAACACCGAUUGCGAAGGCAUCUCACAAAUCCGUGAUUGACGCUGAGGCACGAAAGUGUGGGGAUCAAAC
rnacentral:rRNA from 1 species